GACGAACGCUGGCGGCGUGCUUAACACAUGCAAGUCGAACGGAAAGGCCCUGCUUUUGUGGGGUGCUCGAGGGGCGAACGGGUGAGUAACACGUGAGUAACCUGCCCUUGACUUUGGGAUAACUUCAGGAAACUGGGGCUAAUACCGGAUAGGAGCUCCUGCUGCAUGGUGGGGGUUGGUAAGUUUCGGCGGUUGGGGAUGGACUCGCGGCUUAUCAGCUUGUUGGUGGGGUAGUGGCUUACCAAGGCUUUGACGGGUAGCCGGCCUGAGAGGAUGACCGGACACAUUGGGACUGAGAUAAGGCACAGACUAGUACGGGAGGCAGGAGUGGGGAAGAGAGCACAAGGGGCGGAAGCCUGAUGCAGCAACGCCGCGUGCGGUAUGACGGCAUUCGGGUUGUAAACCGCUUUCGCCUGUGACGAAGCGUGAGUGACGGUAAUGGGUAAAGAAGCACCGGCUAACUACGUG
rnacentral:rRNA from 1 species